AAAAAUCAAAACUAAUUACAUACCCGGUCACAUCAUCAAUACGAUAGAUGGAGUUGCAGUAAAAGAGCGGGUAUCAUUGUUUCCAGCCAGAGCUGCUUUCUCUAUUCAGCACUUAGUACACCAUAAACUCAAGACAGGUCCACUGCAUUUUACUGGAAUUCCUGAUUUUACAGAAGAGGGAACCUUGGUUUUUUUCUCCAGUUUUCCUGUAAGCUAUCCGACCGGAGGCACGACGAUCCCGAGACGUGCGGCGUAAGUUAUCCGGCCCUCGGCACGGCCAUAAGCAGAGCUGAAUGUCAGAAGAGUCUCAUCUUGUGAAGCAUGGGGUAGGUUAAAAUAUACCUUCCUGAACUCUGAAGUCUCUGCUUCCCUGUACCUUCUGCUUUCUUUAUUCCCUGACUUAAUUUUUGCAUCCAUCCCUUCACCGUCCAUCUGGAUGUCACAGUUACUUAGAGACACAGACUAGGCAAUUAUUUCCAGCGCAGGCUUGAGCGACCG